CUCAUGCAGCGCUACACAUCUCUUUCGCAUAGAGUUGAUCAGGCUGUUGAUUGUGGCCUGUGGAAUGAUGUCCCAUCUCUGGCAGGAACUGGAAUAUGCUGUUGUACACGUAGAUUCAGAGCAUCCCAAAUGUGCUCAAUAGGUGACACGUCUGAUAUCAGGCGACCACAAGAGCUGCUCUCUCUCCAGGGGAGGCUAGAUUGGUGGUCAAGUGUAAGGUUAUGUCACACUGGCUUUUGCAGUGUACCUUGCUGACAGCAUUUCAACAAUGCAUAAGGGAUGUCUCCAAAAAAUGCAGGAUGAGGCUAUAAAUGAUAUCAUACCAAAAUAUAACAUGGAUGCAAUGUGGAAAACGCACUGUGGAAGUUGGAGACCGAAGCAUUAUAACAAGACAAUCCUGCCUAAUUGCAUUUUCAAAUGGUCUCACUGCCCACUGCCCAGUGGAAAAUGCGUUAAUUACACACGGAUGAAUAUGGAGGAAUUGAGGAAGAUACAAUGUAGUUUGGCAUCUUCUGCAAAGGGUGAAGAGUGUGGGAAUCUGAAGGGCAUUCCGAAACGGCCAUGUAAACGUGCACAAGUUCCAUGCAAGUUCUUGGAAUGCUGGCAAAUUUUUGUAUCUGCAAACCUGAUUGAUAAUUUUUUUUAAAUCAUAGCCACAUUUAAAACCAGCAGCAAAAAAUCUGUUUGAUAUUGUUUUAUAAAUAAAAUAUUAAUCAAUUGUUUAUCAAGUAUUUUCUGUAAAAGUACUUAUGCAACCUUCUUCGGUUAAAUCUACCUAUGUUCUAUAUGAUUGCUUAUUUUCAGAUAUUACA